AGUGGGAAAGUUUUACAAUGUCGGUCUGUGGAGCUGAAGAAGUGAGCUGACUAGCUCUCUCCCACUA
rnacentral:tRNA from 1 species